UACGUAGGGUGCAAGCGUUAAUCGGAAUUACUGGGCGUAAAGCGUGCGCAGGCGGUUUGCUAAGACAGGUGUGAAAUCCCCGGGCUUAACCUGGGAACUGCGCUUGUUACUGGCAAGCUGGAGUGUGGCAGAGGGGGGUGGAAUUCCACGUGUAGCAGUGAAAUGCGUAGAGAUGUGGAGGAACACCGAUGGCGAAGGCAGCCCCCCUGGGCUAACACUGACGCUCAUGCACGAAAGCGUGGGGAGCAAACAGG
rnacentral:rRNA from 1 species